UACAGAGGGUGCAAGCGUUAAUCGGAGUUACUGGGCGUAAAGGGCGCGUAGGCGGUUAUUUAAGUGAGUUGUGAAAUCCCUGGGCUUAACCUAGGAAGUGCAACUUAUACUGGGUGACUAGAGUACUGUAGAGGGUAGUGGAAUUUCCGGUGUAGCGGUGAAAUGCGUAGAGAUCGGAAGGAACACCAGUGGCGAAGGCGGCUACCUGGACAGAUACUGACGCUGAGGCGCGAAAGCGUGGGGAGCAAACAGG
rnacentral:rRNA from 1 species